UACGUAGGGUGCAAGCGUUGUCCGGAUUUAUUGGGCGUAAAGAGCGUGUAGGCGGUUUGGUAGGUCCGCUGUGAAAACUCGAGGCUCAACCUCGAGACGCCGGUGGAAACCAUCAGGCUAGAGUCCGGAAGAGGAGAGUGGAAUUCCUGGUGUAGCGGUGAAAUGCGCAGAUAUCGGGAGGAACACCUAUGGCGAAGGCAGCUCGCUGGGACGUUACUGACGCUGAGACGCGAAAGCGUGGGGAGCGAACAGG
rnacentral:rRNA from 1 species